rnacentral:rRNA from 1 species
UACGGAGGGGGCUAGCGUUGUUCGGAAUUACUGGGCGUAAAGCGCGCGUAGGCGGAUCUGCAAGUCGGGGGUGAAAUCCCGAGGCUCAACCUCGGAACUGCCUUCGAUACUGCGGGUCUCGAGUCCGGGAGAGGUGAGUGGAAUUCCUAGUGUAGAGGUGAAAUUCGUAGAUAUUAGGAAGAACACCAGUGGCGAAGGCGGCUCACUGGCCCGGUACUGACGCUGAGGCG